rnacentral:tRNA from 1 species
GCGGGGGUGGGCAAAUUGGUAAAGUCGCUCGGCUCAGGUCCGAGAGGCCGAAAGGCGUUGAGGGUUCGACCCCCUCCCUCCGCA